rnacentral:rRNA from 1 species
GGAGUGAAAUAGAUCCUGAAACCGUAUGCAUACAAACAGUAGGAGCCUCCUUGUGGGGUGACUGCGUACCUUUUGUAUAAUGGGUCAGCGACUUACAUUCAGUGGCAAGGUUAACCGAAUAGGGAAGCCGUAGCGAAAGCGAGUCCGAAUAGGGCGAUUCAGUCGCUGGGUGUAGACCCGAAACCAGAUGAUCUAUCCAUGGCCAGGUUGAAGGCACGGUAACACGUGCUGGAGGACCGAACCCACUAAUGUUGAAAAAUUAGGGGAUGAGCUGUGGAUAGGGGUGAAAGGCUAAACAAAUCUGGAAAUAGCUGGUUCUCUCCGAAAACUAUUUAGGUAGUGCCUCAAGUAUUACCGUCGGGGGUAGAGCACUGUUUAGGCUAGGGGGUCAUGGCGACUUACCAAACCUAUGCAAACUCCGAAUACCGACGAGUACAGCUUGGGAGACAGAGCACCGGGUGCUAACGUCCGGACUCAAGAGGGAAACAACCCAGACCGCCAGCUAAGGUCCCUAAAAUUGGCUAAGUGGGAAACGAAGUGGGAAGGCUAAAACAGUCAGGAUGUUGGCUUAGAAGCAGCCAUCAUUUAAAGAAAGCGUAAUAGCUCACUGAUCGAGUCGUCCUGCGCGGAAGAUGUAACGGGGCUAAGCCAGUUACCGAAGCUGCGGAUUUGCAAUUUAUUGCAAGUGGUAGGAGAGCGUUCUGUAGGCCUGUGAAGGUGUCUGGUAACGGAUGCUGGAGGUAUCAGAAGUGCGAAUGCUGACAUGAGUAGCGAUAAAGGGGGUGAAAAGCCCCCUCGCCGUAAGCGCAAGGUUUUCUACGCAACGUUCAUCGGCGUAGAGUGAGUCGGCCCCUAAGGCGAGGCAGAGAUGCGUAGCUGAUGGGAAACUGGUUAAUAUUCCAGUACCGUCGUACAGUGCGAUGGGGGGACGGAUCGCGGAAGAUCAUCAGGGUGUUGGAUGUCCCUGUUGCUGUAUCGAAGAUGGCGCUUAGGCAAAUCCGGGCGCGUAAAUCAAGGGUAUGGCACGAGCGAGCAUUGCUUGCGAAGUGAUUGGAAGUGGUUCCAAGAAAAGCCUCUAAGCUUCAGCUGUACGAGACCGUACCGCAAACCGACACAGGUGGACGGGAUGAAUAUUCCAAGGCGCUUGAGAGAACUCAGGAGAAGGAACUCGGCAAAUUGAUACCGUAACUUCGGGAGAAGGUAUACCCCGGUAGUGUGAAGCGCCUGCGCGCUUAGCAUGAUGGGGUCGCAGAGAAUCGGUGGCUGCGACUGUUUAUUAAAAACACAGCACUCUGCAAAGACGAAAGUCGACGUAUAGGGUGUGACGCCUGCCCGGUGCUGGAAG